AGGGUGGGGAAGAGCCAUUCCCAGUGGAGGCAAAAGACAAAAAGAACACCAGGACUUUUCCAAAAGCAGGCGGGUUUGCAACUCUGCGGAACUGCUGACUCGGGGCUUAGGGAAUAAAAUAGAAGGCCGACAGGCGCUCCUUCCUACAAAGGCAGCUUGGAAAACUUCUCUUAACUUCGUGUAGACAGAACCAGCAACUACCCUGUGACCUCUUGGUUAGAAUCCUUGGCUUUCACCUUCUCCCAUCUGGAUGCACCAGGAGAGAAGGGACUGGGAGAACAAAGGUGAGAAAUGGUUCCAGCUAUUGUCUCCCCCCCAGGAAAGGGUGGCUGUGUCUUGCAAAGCUUCCUUUCCACCCUAUAGCUCCCCACUCACAGGCUUGGCUUUGGGCUGAGAAAGGGUCUCAUUCUUCACAGGGAGUGGUCCCUGACCUCCUCCAGCCUCCACUUCUUCCAGAGAACUGCUGCAUUUAACUCUCCGCAGCUUUGGGCCUGGUGGGUCAGGGACUCCCCCACAGAGCUUCAGGGAAACAGCGCUUUGGGUCUUUCUGUCCCCCAGAUUAAAUAGUCAAGGCUGUACCCCAGAGCCUCCAGCUCUCCUAACUGUUGCUACCACUGGCUAGGGUCACUGUGAAAUUAAGAGAAGAGGAGGACUUGUCACUUGUGGGACUGCACGGUUUUGCCCCAAGGGAUAAAAAGAGAGCCCAGAGGGCACCCUGCCCGCUGCGGGCCUGCAGGAGGCUCAGCCUGCAGCUGAGCUGCUGAGGGUAGAGGAGCUUUCCAGAGACAGUAGUGGACCCCUCCCCUCUCUGAGCCUCAACUCUUGUGGUCCCCUCUGGCUACACAGGGAGGUGGGGUACAGUGGGGUGGAAGCAAAAAGGAAGGCUGAGGGGGGAAAAAAAAGCUAACCUGGAGGAAAAUUCCAGAGGAAAUACACCUCCAAAUGUGGUAGGAAAUGGAGUGGGGUUUCUGAGAUCAGAGCCCAUUUGAAAUGUGUAGGAGGCAAUUCUAUUCCAGUUUGGUUUCUUUCUUGCUUUUUUUUUUUUUUUUAAUUCCUUUCUGGCCUAUUACCCCUGUUUGGGGCUGGGGGGGUAGGGGUAAAGGGUAGAACCUGCAUCCCAGGCCACCCAUUUCGUUUUGAGGUGUUGCUGCUGGUUAGGGACCUUCCACACUUCAUGGGACAAAGCAGGGGCAAUGAGGAGUCUAGGUGGGGACCUGGGGGUGAGAAACACUGGAGGGGUCUGAGGAAAGACUUUGAGGUCUGGAAAAGGAGAAGAGAGGUAUUUGUCACCCCGACAGUGAAGUUGUGAUUUAAAGGCAGAGUAGAGACCUGGAUUUAUGAAGGGAAACUUGGGCAACUUACCAUGAGAGAGAGGAAUUGAAAAAGACAAACGGAGCGAACGACUAAGACACAGAGACCUUAGUGUAAUCUAAUAAGGGCAGAAAUU
rnacentral:lncRNA from 1 species